rnacentral:rRNA from 1 species
GACCUCAAAUCAGGUAGGGCUACCCGCUGAACUUAAGCAUAUCAAUAAGGGAGGAAAAGAAACUAACAAGGAUUCCCCUAGUAACGGCGAGCGAACCGGAUGAGCUCAAAUUUGAAAUCUGGCGCCCUCCGGACGUCCGAGUUGUAACUAUAGAAGCGUUUUCCGUGCCGGACCGUGUCCAAGUCCCUUGGAACAGGUAUCAAAGAGGGUGACAAUCCCGUACUUGACACGACGACCGGCGCUCUUGAUACGUUCUCUACGAGUCGAGUUGUUUGGGAAUGCAGCUCAAAACGGUGGUAAAUUCCAUCUAAAGCUAAAUAUUGGCGAGAGACCGAUAGCGAACAGUACCGUGAGGGAAAGAUGAAAAGCACUUUGGAAAGAGAGUUAAACAGAUGUGAAAUUGUUGAAAGGGAAA